CCAGUGUUCAUCUUUUAUUUUUCCGCGAUUUCUUUCCAUUUUUCAUUUUUUACGUUUAUUAAUUUUAGUAUUUUUGUUGAUUAAACUCACUAUUUUUUGUGACCUUUGCGUUACAUGCCCAUUUUUUGGUAGUCGAAGAAUGUGACCGUCAUUAGAUAAGUGAAAUGACUAAAAAGUGCAUGCAACUAUGGUAUUGGUGAAUCUAAAAAUAUCUGAAUUGUAUUGGGGUAUUUUCGUCAAACAAAAAAUUGAAGCAUCGAUUGAUAAUUGAAUAUUGAGAACUCACAAGAUCGUAGUGAAUGGUGAAAAUAACUAACCUUGUCGAGCUACUGAAUUUCCAUAACCACCCAGCAUAUAAAUUAAUAUUAACUCCGUGAAAGUUGAAACUCACUACUAACAGUUGAAAAAUGAGAAAUAUGAAACACGAAAAUAUUUCACGAGUGUGAACCUCAAAUCUCGUGGGUUUGGAGAGAUUCAGGGUCAGAGGAUUGGAUGGAAUCGUUAAUUGUGCCAGCACUUCCACCACAGCCUCAAUUGACAUACGUGGCACCGCUCCAUGACAGUGGCAUUGAUGAUGGCCAUCCCAGCCAUUCGAACGUCGAUUAUCGUUCUUCCCUUACUAGUUUUUUGAGGAUUCCAAUUUUGCAAGAGAUUUGGGGGAAAUUUUGCAGGUUUUAUGUAGUAGAUUUAAGAGAGAAGACAAAAUAGGGGUUAGGGAAAUAGCUGUCAACAAUAAAGCAGAGGAGUUAUACGUGUUUCAUUUGGCCACGGUGGAAGAACCAGUUUGAACGAGAUAUGUGUGAAACCUCAUGUGAAAGAAUGAAUAGUGAAG
rnacentral:lncRNA from 1 species